rnacentral:rRNA from 1 species
UACGUAGGGUGCGAGCGUUAAUCGGAAUUACUGGGCGUAAAGCGUGCGCAGGCGGUUCGUUGUGUCGGUGGUGAAAUCCCCGGGCUUAACCUGGGAAUGGCCAUGGAAACUGGCGAACUGGAGUGUGGCAGAGGGGGGGUGGAAUUCCGCGUGUAGCAGUGAAAUGCGUAGAUAUCGCCAAGAACACCAAUGGCGAAGGCAGCUUGCUGGGCCGACCCUGACGCUGAGGCACGAAAGCGUGGGGAGCGAACAGG